AGUCGACGAUUAAGCACCUUCGGGUGUGUAUAGAGUGGCGAACGGGUGAGUAACACGUGACCAACCUGCCUCUUACAUUGGGACAACCAAAAGAAAUUCUGGCUAAUACCAAAUACUCCGCACAUAUCACAUGAUGUAUGCGGGAAAGCUUUUGCGGUAAGAGAUGGGGUCGCGGCCCAUUAGGUAGACGGCGGGGUAGAAGCCCACCGUGCCGAUGAUGGGUAGCCGGGUUGAGAGACCGACCGGCCACAUUGGGACUGAGAUACGGCCCAGACUCCUACGGGAGGCAGCAGUGGGGAAUAUUGCGCAAUGGGGGAAACCCUGACGCAGCAACGCCGCGUGCGGGAUGAAGGCCUUCGGGUUGUAAACCGCUUUCAGCAGGGAAGACAUCGACGGUACCUGCAAAAGAAGCCCCGGCUAACUACGUGCCAGCAGCCGCGGUAAUACGUAGGGGGCGAGCGUUAUCCGGAUUCAUUGGGCGUAAAGCGCGCGCAGGCGGUUGCUCAAGCGGAACCUCUAAUCUCGGGGCUUAACCUCGAGCCGGGUUCCGAACUGGACGACUCGAGUGCGGUAGAGGCAGAUGGAAUUCCCGGUGUAGCGGUGGAAUGCGCAGAUAUCGGGAAGAACACCAACGGCGAAGGCAGUCUGCUGGGUCGUCACUGACGCUGAGGCGCGAAAGCUGGGGGAGCGAACAGGAUUAGAUACCCUGGUAGUCCCAGCCGUAAACGAUGAGCGCUGGGUGAGGGAGAUUACAUCUUCCGUGCCCAAGCUAACGCAUUAAGCGCUCCGCCU
rnacentral:rRNA from 1 species